rnacentral:rRNA from 1 species
GGUGCUGCAUGGCUGUCGUCAGCUCGUGUCGUGAGAUGUUGGGUUAAGUCCGCAACGAGCGCAACCCUUGCCUUUAGUUGCCAGCAGUUCGGCUGGGCACUCUAAAGGGACUGCCGGUGUUAAACCGGAGGAAGGUGGGGAUGACGUCAAGUCCUCAUGGCCUUUAUGACCAGGGCUACACACGUACUACAAUGGCCGAUACAAAGGGCAGCGACACUGCGAGGUGAAGCCAAUCCCGUAAAAUCGGUCUCAGUCCGGAUUGGAGUCUGCAACUCGACUCCAUGAAGUUGGAAUCGCUAGUAAUCGUGGAUCAGCAUGCCACGGUGAAUACGUUCCCGGGCCUU